rnacentral:rRNA from 1 species
CCGCCGGCGACCGGCGCACGGGUGAGUAACACGUAUGCAACCUGGCCGUGACAGAUGGAUAACCGGGAGAAAUCCCGCCUAAUACAACAUAAUGCCGGGAGGGGACAUCCCCUGCCGGCCAAAGGGGGCGACCCCGGUCACGGAUGGGCAUGCGGCGCAUUAGGUAGUUGGUGGGGCAACGGCCCACCAAGCCGACGAUGCGUAGGGGUUCUGAGAGGAAGGUCCCCCACAUUGAAACUGAGACACGGUCCAAACUCCUACGGGAGGCAGCAG